GAAAAGAACUUUGAAAAGAGAGUUAAACAGUACGUGAAAUUGUUGAAAGGGAAACGAUUGAAGCCAGUCGUACCGUCGGGAAAUCAACUUUUUGAGCGCUUGUCGUGGGUGACUUUGAGCUUCGCGGCCUUCGUUGCUUUGCGUUAUGGUGCUUUUGGGGUGUACUUUUCCGUAUGGUAGGUCAAUAUCGAUUUUGAUCGUCAUAAAAUGAUCGGAGGAAUGUGGCUUCGGUCUUGUAUCGGAGUGUUAUAGCCUUUGGUAGAUGUGACGGCUGGGAUCGAGGAUUGCAACGAAUACCCUUUGGGCUAUCCGUCUGACCUCUGAAAGUCGCUCGGGUGUCGAAAGCUUGCUUAUGGCAUUUUAGUUGGCGGUCAAAAGGUUAGAACGCGAUUACAUUCGU
rnacentral:rRNA from 1 species